CCUGAUCUGCAGUGAUUCUUUAUGCUAUAAUGUGGUUAUCAUUACUGACAUUUAUUUGUGUAGUGACUAGAGGUAAUCUCAGUUUUGGACAUGGAUGAGUUCUUAUUCUCUAGAAAAUAAUCCAUCCACUUGUUUCCACUUUAAAGAAAAUUAGGUAACUGUGAUAUAGGGGUAAAGAUAAAGCUAAAUAGGGCCUGCUUUGCUUGACCACCAAAAUAUUAGCUCAGCUGCCUUUUGAGAGAAUUUGUGUAAGUCUACGUAAUCUUACUAGGCAAGGAAAAUUCCUCACAGCUGGCUUCUGAACUUCUUUGAAUUUCAUGUAUUCUAUGAUGGCAUUCAAGAAGUUUAAAAUAGUGUUAUUCAGAAUCCUAAGUAUUCAUCAUAACUGAUGCUGUGUCUGCUGAGUGACAGAAACGUCACUGCCUUAAUUCUAGCCCCCACUACCACUUACCUGCAUAACUGUAUUAGCCUCACAUCCCAACCCUUUAAGUGUUUUAGCUUGGGGUAUUAGGUGUUCUACUGUACGUAUCUAGUAGUCUUUGCUAUUCAGCACCUUGCUGCUCAACUGGCUUUCCUUAUGUACGGUUCUGAUUCCAAUACCUCCUGGUUCAUAGACGUUUAAUAACCACCCAUUGUCUAUAUAUUCCACUACUUGAUCUUUAAAUCAUGCAUGGCCUAGUUCCAGUGUACUUUCCCAGUUUUGUAUGCCAGUGUUCUCUUUCAUGUAAUACAUGUGAUAGUUCCUGACUUCCUCAGCUUUAUCUAAGUACUAAGGGCCUUCAGCGCAUAGCUCAAGUCUAAUCCCUGAAGCUUGUCACUUAAGGUCUUUGUCACUUAAGAAAUUACAUGUAUUACCUGAAGCCAGGGUGCCUGAGAAGAGCCUACCAAGCUAUAAUCUUUUUCCUGUUCCCCUCCAUAUAUGUCCAGUCUGUAGGGGUGGGUUUCUUCUCUAAUUUACUUAAGCUUCCAGCCUAUUUAAUUAAAUUAGGACAUCCUCAUUGAUCCUCAGCCCUGUUGGUUGGGCCCCUGAAUGCAACCCAUUUAAUUUUGGCUCUGAAUACAAGGCUCCCUGUUUGGGCAAUUGUCCAAACAAUUGCCUAGAGAUCUAAAUUCUUAGGUUCUUGCCAGUUUCAUCUCCUAUCAUUACAGCAC
rnacentral:lncRNA from 1 species